AUUGAACGCUGGCGGCAGGCCUAACACAUGCAAGUCGAGCGGAUGAGGGGAGCUUGCUCCUCGAUUCAGCGGCGGACGGGUGAGUAAUGCCUAGGAAUCUGCCUAGUAGUGGGGGACAACGUUUCGAAAGGAACGCUAAUACCGCAUACGUCCUACGGGAGAAAGUGGGGGAUCUUCGGACCUCACGCUAUUAGAUGAGCCUAGGUCGGAUUAGCUAGUUGGUAGGGUAAAGGCCUACCAAGGCGACGAUCCGUAACUGGUCUGAGAGGAUGGUCAGUCACACUGGAACGGGGACACGGUCCAGACUCCUACGGGAGGCAGCAGUGGGGAAUAUUGGACAAUGGGCGAAAGCCUGAUCCAGCCAUGCCGCGUGUGUGAAGAAGGCCUUCGGGUCGUAAAGCACUUUAAGUUGGGAGGAAGGGCUCAUAGCGAAUACCUGUGAGUUUUGACGUUACCAACAGAAUAAGCACCGGCUAACUUCGUGCCAGCAGCCGCCGUAAAAC
rnacentral:rRNA from 1 species